rnacentral:rRNA from 1 species
UACACUCCUACGGGAGGCAGCAGUGGGGAAUUUUGGACAAUGGGCGAAAGCCUGAUCCAGCCAUGCCGCGUGCAGGAUGAAGGCCUUCGGGUUGUAAACUGCUUUUGUACGGAACGAAACGGCCUUUUCUAAUAAAGAGGGCUAAUGACGGUACCGUAAGAAUAAGCACCGGCUAACUACGUGCCAGCAGCCGCGGUAAUACGUAGGGUGCAAGCGUUAAUCGGAAUUACUGGGCGUAAAGCGUGCGCAGGCGGUUAUGUAAGACAGUUGUGAAAUCCCCGGGCUCAACCUGGGAACUGCAUCUGUGACUGCAUAGCUAGAGUACGGUAGAGGGGGAUGGAAUUCCGCGUGUAGCAGUGAAAUGCGUAGAUAUGCGGAGGAACACCGAUGGCGAAGGCAAUCCCCUGGACCUGUACUGACGCUCAUGCACGAAAGCGUGGGGAGCAAACAGGAUUAGAUACCCGAGUAGUCCCAUG